rnacentral:tRNA from 2 species
GCGCGCGUAGCUCAGUUGGAUAGAGCGUCUGCCUCCGGAGCAGAAGGUCGCAGGUUCGAGUCCUGCCGUGCGCA